AGAGUUUGAUCAUGGCUCAGGAUGAACGCUAGCGGCAGGCCUAAUACAUGCAAGUCGAGCGGCAAGUUGAGUAGUAAUACUUGACCUAGAGCGGCGCACGGGUGCGUAACGCGUAUGCAACCUACCUUUUACUGGGGGAUAGCCCGGAGAAAUCUGGAUUAAUACCCCAUGGUAUCUAUUGACCGAAUGGUUUGUAGCUUAAAGAUUUAUCGGUAAAAGAUGGGCAUGCGUCUGAUUAGCUAGUUGGCGGGGUAACGGCACCAAGGCGACGAUCAGUAGGGGUUCUGAGAGGAAGGUCCCCCACACUGGCACUGAGAUACGGGCCAGACUCCUACGGGAGGCAGCAGUAGGGAAUAUUGGGCAAUGGUCGCAAGACUGACCCAGCCAUGCCGCGUGCAGGAAGACGGCCCUCUGGGUUGUAAACUGCUUUUAUCUGGGAAGAAAAAGUCCAUGCGUGGAAAAUUGCCGGUACCAGAUGAAUAAGCACCGGCUAACUCCGU
rnacentral:rRNA from 1 species